UCCGGCUUCCUGCAGCCGGAGCCGUUUUGCGGGCGCAGCCUUGAGAGGGCGAGGCGUCGAGCGGCUGGACGGCCCACGUGAGGGACCCGGUCCGGUCCGGUGAGGCCAGGCCUCCCUGUAAACGGCUGAGGUGCUGGCGGUCUGGACGGAGAUCUCCUCGGCUGGCUUGCGGGACCCACGGCAAGCCUCGCAAAUGGAAAACACCUCUUAUGAAUAUCUCCAUCAAGACACUUAGUUCCCUGUAUUUUUGCACUUCAGUACAGAAAAGACAUUCAUUGUAGAAAGUAUGACCACGUCUUGUGCAGAUUGGAUCCACGUGGCUGGGGCAAGUAUAGCAGAAAACACAUUCGUUGUAGAAAGUACGGCCACGGCCUGCGCAGAUUGGAUCCACUUGGUUGGAGCAAACAUUUAAUCGACCCCUAUAUGCACCACAGUUUGGCUGUUAAACAUAAAGAAGAACAUAAACUUUGUCAGUUGGAAGAGAAUUUCCUGUAACCAGCACACAAAAGAAAACGUAAAAAUAAGAAGAAUCGGAAAACAAUCAGAGUCCCUGUGGGAAGAACCUAUACCUUUUAAUAGCAAAAUACUACACAUAUUGCCUACUAGUACCUCCAAGUUCUGAGGUGAGCCUCUUGUGGUAGUAUCAAAACAGUAAGUUCACAAAAUAGCUCCAAAUCUGGAAAUAAAAUUCCAAAUUAUUCUCAUCUGGGAAAAAUACGUGUAAGUGUUGUGCAGCAAUCACCACACUCUCCUGUGAAGAUAACAUGUUUCUUUUUAUUCAUUUUGUAAUAAAUGAGACAUGCUAGUCAGAGAAGACAAUGCCUUUUUUAAUGUCUCUAAUAUGCCUUGCAUAAAGUCACCUAACAUGAAUAAAUU